UCGGGAAAGCUCCCUGUAUGUUCUUAUUUCUUCAAUAUCAAAAGUUAAGGGUCAAGUGUGAGCGCCUGUGCCGGCCCCGCCGGGCUCCAGGGGCGUGGCCGCUGUUCCCGGGGGCCUGGACUUGGAAAGGGGCGAGAUGGGAAAAUCCCUCGGGUUUUCCAGGAUGGAUUCGCGAGGGAGGCAGAAGACGUUUGCGGAGCAGCCACGGAGACCUGGGGAAGGCGAGGUCUCGGAGCAGCAGCUUUACAGGCAUCUUCGUUCGGGAGCACCUCCACACCUGAUCAGAGGAGUAAGAUUAGCCCUUCCUCUCUGUCUUGGAACUGCCCACUGGACACUGGAGCAGCAACUUUCCUGGAAGAACUUCCAUUUGUGAUUGUUUUUCUCUGUUUCACAAUUAGCAAUUUUAUCAUAUCAUAAGCCAGUGUUACAAAGUACAACAGAAUCAACCUUAGCCCAGCCCCCAGAGGUGAUAAACAGCACAAAGGGAACACACACACCAAGCGAGGCACUGAGUGACGCAAACCUGAGAACAAGAGCAACACCUCUUGAGAACAAACAAAUCAACAUUGUGUCCAAUGACUAUUAAAUUAAUAUAAUGAAUGGUUGUAAUAAAUGUGUUUUAC